UCGUGGAGCUACGGCUCCUUCGAGGGAGAACCCUUGCCUUUUCGAGCACCUGUUUGUUUCCUCGGCAGGCCCGCCUGCCAGUGGGGACCCUUUUAAACUCUUGCAGUAACCUGGAACAAGAUUGAACAAAAAACCGAAAUCAA
rnacentral:misc_RNA from 1 species